GUGCAAACAGAUAGCAACUCCUCACACACCGUCUACAUACUGAACCUCUGGUAUAUAAUUAGCAGUUUCAGGAUAGCACAGAGUCCGUGAUGACAGUUUGAGUUAUCAAAGUAGGCCACUGAAUUCUCAACUAAACAUGAGGAAAUUAAAAAGAUUAACACCUACUCUAGCAACAUGUCUCCUACUACUGAGUUUCACCAUGACAACUGCGGUCAGUGGAGAGGGAGACACCCUCGUCUUAGAACCUCCAGAGAAAAUUGCAAUAGAGGUAGGAAAAUCAGGGGAGGUAACUUGUGCACUCCCAACAAAGGCCAACCAAUCAGAUACAAUUAUGUGGCUGAAUGAGAAUGGGACAGAUGUAAAUGACCUAAACAGGACCCAGAUAAAGUCUGUGACAGGAGUCCUUAAACUAGAAGACCUUAUUCUAUCUGACACCGGAGAUUUUGUCUGUACCACCAAAUCAAGGGCGUAUAACUCUACAGUGAAUGUUAAAGUGUAUAACAUGCCAAGUUACUUCCUCGAGGGAAUGAUCAUUAUAGGAAUCAACAUCGGCCUCAUCGUUAUCUUCAUUGGCUGUGCUACAAACAGGUUAAUUCAAAAUAGGAGGAACAAAAUGAAAGCAAGGAAGGAAAACAGAAGGGUGUGAAAACAUGUACAAUGUCCGACAGUGUGAUUCAGACUAAACAUAAAAACUGUGUACAGAGGGAUUUCAUAUCAGACAAGAAAGUGAAAUAUUUUAAAAUGUUUUUGUCAGACAAAAUGAGAACUAUACAGUGAAAUGUUAUACAGGUAAAUAAGACUGAAACCUGAAUAUAGAGUAACUUUAUACCAAUUUGAUGUAAAGUUAAAAAUCAAAUAGAUGAGAUGAAAUUUUAUAUACGACUGACAAAUGCAUACAAUGUAACAAUAUAUCAAACCGAUAUGAGUGAAAAAAAUAUAUGCAGAUAAAUGUUAUACUAGAUAAUUAUAAGAGUUAAAACUGUAUACAAUGUCAUGUUAUGUCAGACCAGAAUUAUAAGUGUAUACAACAUAAUUUUAUAUCGGACGACAGUUAAAUCUGUAUAUGUUAACAAUGUCAUUUUAUGUCAGACCAGAGUUAAAACUGUAUACAACAUAAUUUUAUAUCGGACGACAGUUAAAUCUGUAUAUGUUAACAAUGUCAUUUUAUGUCAGACCAGAGUUAAAACUGUAUACAAUGUCAUGUUAUGUCAGACCAGAGUUAAAACUGUAUACAAUGUCAUUUUAUGUCAGACCAGAGUUAAAACUGUAUACAACAUCAUUUUAUAUCAGAUGAGAAUUAAAACUAUACAAUGUCAUUUUAUGUCAGAUGAGAGUUAAAACUGUAUACAACAUCAUUUUAUGUCAUAUGAGAGUUAAGACUGUAUACAAUGUCAUUUUAUGUCUGGCGAGAGUUAAUACUGUAUACAACAUCAUUUUAUGUCAGAUGAAAGUUAAAACUGCAUGUAUACAACAUCAUUUUAUAUCAGACGAGAGUUAAAACUGUAUACAAUGUCAUUUUAUGUCAGACCAGAGUAAAACUGUAUACAAUGUCAUUUUAUGUCAGACCAGUGUAAAACUGUAUACAAUGUCAUUUUAUGUCAGGCGAGAGUUAAAACUGUAUACAACAUAAUUUUAUGUCAGACGAGAAUUAAAACUGUAUACAAUAUCAUCUUAUAUCAGACCAAAGUUGAAACUGAAUACAACAUCAUUUUAUAUCAAAUGAGAAUGAAUAUAUUAUAAACAGAUGAGAGUGAAAACUUGUAUCAGUGUCAUUCUGUAUCAGACAAGAGUGAUGAGAGGGCGAAAUAUAUUUUAAUUUACAUGUACUUGUAUACGUAAUACACAUUCAAUUAUUCCAGGAAUUAACUUUAGUUAGUCACCGAUUUACUACCAACAUAAAUCCCCCUAUUUCUAGGCUUCAUCUCAGUAAUUACACUGGCGGUCAGUGUUCUGUCAGCAUGAAUUAACUUUAAAGGUCACCAAAUAUUGAAAAAGAGAGGCUAAUCUUUACAGUCCUGACAGAGUUAUUCCCCUUCAAUUGCGGGGUACAACUGAUCACUAGCAGAAAAGUAACGUUAUAAUAAAGUAAAAACAAACUGUCCUUGAUAUAUAUUUUAAUGUGUAUAUAAUUAUAAUGCACAAUGUAAGUUAAUGUCUUGAAUAUAUAAAAUGGCUGUUUUUUUCUUCACGAAGAAAGUCAACAAUUAAAUGAAUUUGAAAAUAUACACCUGUGACUUCUAAAACAGAACCUGGCUCAGAAUUCAUACAAAAUACUCCCACCCAAACAAGUACCAAAGGGAAAAUUUACUGGUUAAUGAUAGGAAAUAUUAAAUGGCUUACCUUUGAGUUUAGAUACCAGCUGUUCUUGUUUGUUAAAACUGCAACACAAAAGAAAUCAUGAAGUAAGCAUAGUGUACAUACAUGUACAUAUACAUUCAGUUUAAGGUAAGGUGGGGGUUUAUGGGCCAAUCAUUUUUUUUUCUUUUUUUUUUUCUUUUCUUUUUUUUUUCUUUAGAGCUUAUGACUAUAAAUCCACUGCCAGGAAGCUAAUAUUGGAGCUAGUCCUGUACUUAUGAAUGACUAAGUAAAUCCUAGGUUUGCCAGAUUGUAUAUGUUGUUAUAUAAGCUAUAUUAUAUUUCAUAUAUAUUUGUUUUUAUUUGCCACUUCUACUCCAUCUAAAUAUGUAACUUAGUAACUGAAGCUCGCAAUAUAGGUCAAAUAUAGCACCCAGUUGGUGCCUUGACAUUUGUACCCAAGACUGCAUUAUUUAAUUGUAGAUGAAAAAUACAAAUAUAUACUAUAGGAUCAAGACAUUUUUUACUUCGGCCAAUAUUUAUUUAAUUGCAAUUCAUUGUUACCUACAUUGUUAUAUAAAGACCGGUACAACCAGAAUCACAUAAUGGAAACUUUUAUCAAAUUAUCUUGUACCGAGCUGAAGUUUGAAUCAAUUAAUGGUAACUUUAAUCAAAUUCUCUGUAUGAUUCAGACAUUGUACUGCCUGGUGUAAAUGAUGUAAUCAAUACGUGUCUAGCAGGAUGUAAGUGUAUCAAUUGCAUUAUAUGUAAGUAUUUAACCGGUAAAGCAUAAAACAUGUCCAUUCCAAUGAUUCAUUAGUCCAACAAUCUUGGAGAAUUUAUUACACUUCAAUAAAUAUGAAGUUCUGUAUGACACUUGUAAUUUUAUAUAAAUUUUUUAUGUAAUUCUGUAUCUUUUAAGUUUAAUAAAAAAUACAUCUAAAAA